CUGCAUUAAGCCAAAUUUCCAAACUGUGUUUCUGAAGUAAUAGGCUCAUCUUACCAAAAAAGUUUAAAGCAGCACAAUUCCUGUAAGGCUCUACUUACUAAAAAAGUU